rnacentral:lncRNA from 1 species
CAAAUAUUCUUUUUAUCAAACAUCAUAUCAAACGAGUCUUAGUAUGCACAGACUGUGAUGUGGAUUUCUUUUCAUGAUUUUUUUUUUUUUACAAGGUGUCCAAUUCUUGACUAAUCCUUGGGUCUGUGAUCCGGCCCCUUUUCACACAGUCCAGUUAAUCGUGGGAUGUGCCUCCAACUAACCAGGGUCUGAGUCAUCCCCACCUGAUCUGUCAAAGUGUCAAGCAAGUCAAUCCAAGUUACACUUUGACUUCCAAAAAUAAGCAUUGCCUUCCAAGAAUAAAUCCUUACUUUCCAAGAACCCCAUGAAUCAAACUUACGACCUCUGAUCUGUCAAAUUUGACAGAACCCGUCCUUUUCAUGUUUAUGUAUAUGAAUAAGGAAUUUUAUCAGCAGCAAUGGAUUUUUGAGAAACUGGUGGGAAAUUUUUAUUAUCGAUAAAUGUAAAAUUGGGGUUGCAAUAUCUGUGAAAAUUGUAAUUUGGUGAUUGGGUUAUGUCAAUACUUUUGAUUGGAGAAUGAUCGUUCAAGAAUUCAAUUUGUUUCAUUCUUGUAUCGAGUAUAUUAUCUCUUGUUUGGUAAAAAUUAAAAUU